AGGACGAACGCUGGCGGCGUGCUUAACACAUGCAAGUCGAGCGGUAAGGCUCCUUCGGGAGUACACGAGCGGCGAACGGGUGAGUAACACGUGAGUAACCUGCCCUUCUCAUCGGAAUAAGCGUUGGAAACGACGUCUAAUGCCGAAUAUGACUUCGGAAGGCAUCUUCUGAAGUGGAAAGCUCCGGCGGAGAAGGAUGGACUCGCGGCCUAUCAGCUAGUUGGUGAGGUAACGGCCCACCAAGGCGACGACGGGUAGCCGGCCUGAGAGGGUGACCGGCCACACUGGGACUGAGACACGGCCCAGACUCCUACGGGAGGCAGCAGUGGGGAAUAUUGGACAAUGGGCGAAAGCCUGAUCCAGCAACGCCGCGUGAGGGAUGACGGCCUUCGGGUUGUAAACCUCUUCAGUAGGACGAAGCGAAGUGACGGUACCUACAGAAGAAGGACCGGCCAACUACGUGCCAGCAGCCGC
rnacentral:rRNA from 1 species